GACGAACGCUGGCGGCGUGCUUAACACAUGCAAGUCGAACGAAGUGGCGAACGGGUGAGUAACGCGUAAUCAACCUGCCCUUCAGGGGGGAAAAACAGUUGGAAACGACGGCUAAUACCGCAGACUGCAGGUGGGGAUUGCGUCUGAUUGGCUAGUUGGGGGGGUAACGACCCACCAGGGCGAUGAUCAGUCGCCGGUCUGAGAGGAUGAACGGCCACAUUGGGACUGAGACACGGCCCAGACUCCUACGGGAGGCAGCAGUGGGGAAUCUUCCGCAAUGGACGAAAGUCUGACGGAGCAACGCCGCGUGAGUGAUGACGGCCUUCGGGUUGUAAAGCUCUGUUAAUCGGGACGCGGUACCGGAAUAGAAAGCCACGGCUAACUACGUGCCAGCAGCCGCGGUAAUAC
rnacentral:rRNA from 1 species